rnacentral:ncRNA from 1 species
CAUAGGUUUGGUCCCAGCCUUCCUGUUGGCCCCCAAUAAACUUACACAUGCAAGCAUCCACACCCCGGUGAAAAUACCCUCAAGGCCAACAUGAGCCAAGAGGAGUGGGCAUCAAGCACACAGACACCUGUAGCUCAUGACGCCUUGCUCAACCACACCCCCACGGGAAACAGCAGUGACAAAAAUUAAGCCAUAAACGAAAGUUUGACUAAGUUAUAUUGACUAGGGUUGGUAAAUCUCGUGCCAGCCACCGCGUCAUACGAUUAACCCAAGCUAACAGGAGUACGGCGUAAAACGUGUUUAAGCAUAACACCAAAUAGAGUUAAAUUUUAAUUAAACUGUAAAAAGCCAUAAUUAUAAUAAAAAUAAACGACGAAAGUAACUCUACGAUAGCUGAYACACUAUAGCUAAGACCCAAACUGGGAUUAGAUACCCCACUAUGCUCAGCCCUAAACAUAAAUAAUUACUAAAACAARAUUAUUCGCCAGAGUACUACCGGCAACAGCCGAAACUCAAAGGACUUGGCGGUGCUUUAUACCCUUCUAGAGGAGCCUGUUCUAUAAUCGAUAAACCCCGAUAAACCUCACCGGUCCUUGCUAAUACAGUCUAUAUACCGCCAUCUUCAGCAAACCCUAAAAAGGAACAAAAGUAAGCACAAUCAUCAAYACAUAAAAACGUUAGGUCAAGGUGUAACCAAUGGAAYGGGAAGAAAUGGGCUACAUUUUCUAUCCUAAGAAAAUUAUAUACGAAAGUCAUUAUGAAACUAAUGACUAAAGGAGGAUUUAGUAGUAAACUAAGAAUAGAGCGCUUAGUUGCAUUAGGCCAUGAAGCACGCACACACCGCCCGUCACCCUCCUCAAGUUACCAUGACGCAUUCAAAUCUAUUUACACGUGUUAACCAUAUGAGAGGAGACAAGUCRUAACAAGGUAAGCAUACUGGAAAGUGUGCUUGGACAAAU